rnacentral:rRNA from 1 species
AUUGAACGCUGGCGGCAGGCCUAACACAUGCAAGUCGAGCGGAUGAAGGGAGCUUGCUCCUGGAUUCAGCGGCGGACGGGUGAGUAAUGCCUAGGAAUCUGCCUGGUAGUGGGGGAUAACGUCCGGAAACGGGCGCUAAUACCGCAUACGUCCUGAUGGAGAAAGUGGGGGAUCUUCGGACCUCACGCUAUCAGAUGAGCCUAGGUCGGAUUAGCUAGUUGGUGGGGUAAAGGCCUACCAAGGCGACGAUCCGUAACUGGUCUGAGAGGAUGAUCAGUCACACUGGAACUGAGACACGGUCCAGACUCCUACGGGAGGCAGCAGUGGGGAAUAGUGGACAAUGGGCGAAAGCCUGAUCCAGCCAUGCCGCGUGUGUGAAGAAGGUCUUCGGAUUGUAAAGCACUUUAAGUUGGGAGGAAGGGCAGUAAGUUAAUACCUUGCUGUUUUGACGUUAACAACAGAAUAAGCACCGGCUAACUUCGUG